AAAUUGAAGAGUUUGAUCAUGGCUCAGAUUGAACGCUGGCGGCAGGCCUAACACAUGCAAGUCGAGCGGUAGCACAGAGAGCUUGCUCUCGGGUGACGAGCGGCGGACGGGUGAGUAAUGUCUGGGAAACUGCCUGAUGGAGGGGGAUAACUACUGGAAACGGUAGCUAAUACCGCAUAACGUCGCAAGACCAAAGUGGGGGACCUUCGGGCCUCAUGCCAUCAGAUGUGCCCAGAUGGGAUUAGCUAGUAGGUGGGGUAACGGCUCACCUAGGCGACGAUCCCUAGCUGGUCUGAGAGGAUGACCAGCCACACUGGAACUGAGACACGGUCCAGACUCCUACGGGAGGCAGCAGUGGGGAAUAUUGCACAAUGGGCGCAAGCCUGAUGCAGCCAUGCCGCGUGUGUGAAGAAGGCCUUCGGGUUGUAAAGCACUUUCAGCGGGGAGGAAGGCGUUAAGGUUAAUAACCUUGGCGAUUGACGUUACCCGCAGAAGAAGCACCGGCUAACUCCGUGCCAGCAGCCGCGGUAAUACGGAGGGUGCAAGCGUUAAUCGGAAUUACUGGGCGUAAAGCGCACGCAGGCGGUCUGUCAAGUCGGAUGUGAAAUCCCCGGGCUCAACCUGGGAACUGCAUUCGAAACUGGCAGGCUAGAGUCUUGUAGAGGGGGGUAGAAUUCCAGGUGUAGCGGUGAAAUGCGUAGAGAUCUGGAGGAAUACCGGUGGCGAAGGCGGCCCCCUGGACAAAGACUGACGCUCAGGUGCGAAAGCGUGGGGAGCAAACAGGAUUAGAUACCCUGGUAGUCCACGCCGUAAACGAUGUCGAUUUGGAGGUUGUGCCCUUGAGGCGUGGCUUCCGGAGCUAACGCGUUAAAUCGACCGCCUGGGGAGUACGGCCGCAAGGUUAAAACUCAAAUGAAUUGACGGGGGCCCGCACAAGCGGUGGAGCAUGUGGUUUAAUUCGAUGCAACGCGAAGAACCUUACCUGGUCUUGACAUCCACAGAACUUUCCAGAGAUGGAUUGGUGCCUUCGGGAACUGUGAGAGAGGUGCUGCAUGGCUGUCGUCAGCUCGUGUUGUGAAAUGUUGGGUUAAGUCCCGCAACGAGCGCAACCCUUAUCCUUUGUUGCCAGCGGUCCGGCCGGGAACUCAAAGGAGACUGCCAGUGAUAAACUGGAGGAAGGUGGGGAUGACGUCAAGUCAUCAUGGCCCUUACGACCAGGGCUACACACGUGCUACAAUGGCAUAUACAAAGAGAAGCGACCUCGCGAGAGCAAGCGGACCUCAUAAAGUAUGUCGUAGUCCGGAUUGGAGUCUGCAACUCGACUCCAUGAAGUCGGAAUCGCUAGUAAUCGUAGAUCAGAAUGCUACGGUGAAUACGUUCCCGGGCCUUGUACACACCGCCCGUCACACCAUGGGAGUGGGUUGCAAAAGAAGUAGGUAGCUUAACCUUCGGGAGGGCGCUUACCACUUUGUGAUUCAUGACUGGGGUGAAGUCGUAACAAGGUAACCGUAGGGGAACCUGCGGUUGGAUCACCUCCUUACCUUAAAGAA
rnacentral:rRNA from 1 species